rnacentral:rRNA from 1 species
CCUACGGGUGGCAGCAGUGGGGAAUAUUGCACAAUGGGGGAAACCCUGAUGCAGCGACGCCGCGUGAGUGAAGAAGUAUUUCGGUACGUAAAGCUCUAUCAGCAGGGAAGAAAAUGACGGUACCUGACUAAGAAGCCCCGGCUAACUACGUGCCAGCAGCCGCGGUAAUACGUAGGGGGCAAGCGUUAUCCGGAUUUACUGGGUGUAAAGGGAGCGUAGACGGCAGCGCAAGUCUGGAGUGAAAUCCCAUGGCUUAACCAUGGAACUGCUUUGGAAACUGUGCAGCUAGAGUGCAGGAGAGGUAAGCGGAAUUCCUAGUGUAGCGGUGAAAUGCGUAGAUAUUAGGUGGAACACCAGUGGCGAAGGCGGCUUACUGGACUGUAACUGACGUUGAGGCUCGAAAGCGUGGGGAGCAAACAGGAUUAGAUAUCCGAGUAGUC